rnacentral:rRNA from 1 species
UACGUAGGGUGCAAGCGUUGUCCGGAAUUAUUGGGCGUAAAGAGCUCGUAGGCGGUCUGUUGCGUCGGCUGUGAAAACCCGGGGCUCAACUCCGGGCCUGCAGCCGAUACGGGCAGACUAGAGUUCGGCAGGGGAGACUGGAAUUCCUGGUGUAGCGGUGAAAUGCGCAGAUAUCAGGAGGAACACCGGUGGCGAAGGCGGAUCUCUGGGCCGAUACUGACGCUGAGGAGCGAAAGCGUGGGGAGCGAACAGG